AACGCGAAGAACCUUACCAAGGCUUGACAUGCAUCUCUAAGCGCGUGAAAGCGCGUGACUCUUCGGAGGAUUUGCACAGGUGCUGCAUGGCCGUCGUCAGCUUGUGUCGUGAGAUGUUGGGUUAAGUCCCGCAACGAGCGCAACCCCUGUGGACAGUUGCCAGCGAGUAAUGUCGGGGACUCUGUUCAGACUGCCCAGAUCAACUGGGAGGAAGGUGGGGACGACGUCAGGUCAGUAUGGCCCUUACGCCUUGGGCUGCACACGUACUACAAUGCCCAGCACAAUGAGAACCGAGACCGCGAGGUGGAGGAAAUCUAUAAAACUGGGCCCAGUUCGGAUUGGAGGCUGCAACUCGCCUCCAUGAAGCCGGAAUCGCUAGUAAUGCUGCAUCAGCUACGGCAGCGUGAAUACGUUCCCGGGUC
rnacentral:rRNA from 1 species